UACGUAGGGCGCAAGCGUUAUCCGGAAUUAUUGGGCGUAAAGAGCUCGUAGGCGGUUUGUCGCGUCUGCCGUGAAAGUCCGGGGCUCAACUCCGGAUCUGCGGUGGGUACGGGCAGACUAGAGUGAUGUAGGGGAGACUGGAAUUCCUGGUGUAGCGGUGAAAUGCGCAGAUAUCAGGAGGAACACCGGUGGCGAAGGCGGUGAUCUGGGCCAGUACUGACGCUGAGGAGCGAAAGCGUGGGUAGCAAACAGG
rnacentral:rRNA from 1 species